AUUGAACGCUGGCGGCAGGCCUAACACAUGCAAGUCGAGCGGAUGAAGGGAGCUUGCUCCUGGAUUCAGCUGCGGACGGGUGAGUAAUGCCUAGGAAUCUGCCUUGUAGUGUGGGAUAACGUCCGGAAACGGGCGCUAAUACCGCAUACGUCCUGAGGGAGAAAGUGGGGGAUCUUCGGACCUCACGCUAUCAGAUGAGCCUAGGUCGGAUUAGCUAGUUGGUGGGGUAAAGGCCUACCAAGGCGACGAUCCGUAACUGGUCUGAGAGGAUGAUCAGUCACACUGGAACUGAGACACGGUCCAGACUCCUACGGGAGGCAGCAGUGGGGAAUAUUGGACAAUGGGCGAAAGCCUGAUCCAGCCAUGCCGCGUGUGUGAAGAAGGUCUUCGGAUUGUAAAGCACUUUAAGUUGGGAGGAAGGGCAGUAAGUUAAUACCUUGCUGUUUUGACGUUACCAACAGAAUAAGCACCGGCUAACUUCGUG
rnacentral:rRNA from 1 species